CCUUCCUUCAUUAAUUCUUCUCCCUCUUUAGAGUAUCUAAGAGAUCAGAAAAAGAAGAAGAAGUUUAGCCUUCAAAGAUCCUUACGAGUUAGCACUCCCGAGGAGCUUGAUCAGCAUAAGUUCUUCAUGCGGACGACCUGUAGAGGUCGGAUACUUUUAUGUGACUGCAAGAAAUCUGAAGGAACUCCUAUCCACGCAAUACAC
rnacentral:lncRNA from 1 species